ensembl:lncRNA
ACACGAUAUUAAAUGGAUAAAAGUAAAAAAAUAAAUAAAUAAAUAAAUAAUAAAAAAGCAUUUUUAUCCUUCAGUGCAUUAAAACAUGAAUUGUGUAAAUUGUUGUGGUAUAAGAUGAAUCAAUCACUUCCGGACAUGCUGUUAUGGGAAAAUGACCAACAGGAACACACACACCAUCACACCACCCUGUCAGUGAUUAUUUUUUCUGCAACAGCACGAGACAGAGUGUUUACACACACACACACACACACACACACACACACAGAGAGGGGCUUCUUACAGGAAUUUGAAAUUUGCUUUCCUGUAAAUGCAUGACUUAACAGAUGUCCUGACAGAGCGAAAGUGAAAGUGAAUUUAUCAGUCUUCCUGUCUCUCUGCACCUAAACUGAUCCUCGACAGAUCACACGACAAACCUGGGCUUUCAUUUGACUUCAGAAUGCUUCCCGUACACAGUGUCUACCCUCUGGUUUUAGGGAAAACCAUGAACUCCGAUAAGCACUUUAUGGAUUGUCUCAGAUCCGAAAUGAAGCUACAUGAAGUGGACUCGCAGAAUGACUGUGAUGUCCUCAUUGCUUUCGUCCCGAUUGUGUCUCGAGCUGGAACGGACAUUCAAGCUGCUCUUGAAAGAAUUCCCACAGAACAUUCAUACAAGCGCGUCGUUCUGGUGUCUCUCCACCACACAUUCGAUCAGGAUUACAUCGCUCCGGACAGCAGACACUCUGUUCACAGGAAUGACGUGUUUGCUGUGGACUGUCUCUAUCAUGAAGACAUGGGACUGCUGAAAUCCCGAACCAAUGAUGAGGCACUGAAAAGAGUAAUAAAGCAUCUAGGAGGAGAAACACCAUAUAAGGUCUCUGAAUGGAGCCUGUUGAUUGUGAAUAAAAUGGGUGCGGACAAGACCGAAUUUAUUCCUUGGUUAUGUGCCGUGCUGAGCAGCCUUUGUUUAUACUUUGUUCUGCCAGAAGGGUACAGCUUCUUCCACUUCUUAAUUUUGGAGAUAUUGCUGCUGAUUAUCAUAUCUGUGUCCCUGAGUUACUACAGCAAGUAUCUCAAAAAUAGCAAAUACCACCUUGGGAAGUGGACUCUUUGGAUUUUUACUGGUAUGAACGUUGUCCUCAUACUUGUAUUUCAGAGUUCCACUAAGGAGUCUGUGCAUGAGUUGAAUAAUGCCACUGAACACAGUCAAAACAUGUGAUACGGAUAAUAUUGCUUUGCCUGAUAUUGUGGUAUGUGGUUUAGAAAACUUGUUAAUAUUAAAUAAACACUUCUCUGUUCAAUAAUAAACUAUAGGCAUGGGGACAAAAAUAUGUUCAUUUGUGGUUUUGUUAAAAGUUCAAAUUAAAAGAAGUGAAUUCAGGAUUAAUAGAACGAUUAAUUUAAGAUUAAAUUAAAAAUAAACUAAAAUUAAAUGAAAUAAAUCAAAUGAGUAAAAUACACAGUACUGUGCAACAGUCUUAGGGACUCUUUGUUUAGCAUAAUUUUGUUAUAGAUAUUUAUUUGAUGAAUUCUGCUUUAUCGAGUCAGUACAGAAACAUUUUAGAUCUCCAAACAUUACUCAUCCAAAAGUAUAAUGUUGCAGAGAAAUAUUUACGUUAGAAGAGAAAGCAACGUAUUACAUAAGAGACCACUUUUCAGAGAAAUAAACAUAAUGAAGGCGGCUGGGUUUUGCAUGCGAAAAAGAAGAAGAAGCAAACGUGACAGUCUCCAGAAGAAGUCAGAUUCUCCAAGAUGCUCAACAAAACAACGAAAGGAGCAAGAAUGUGUGGACGAUUGUCAAGGGGGUGUAAUCAGGGCAAGACUUAUGGAGGAAUGCUGAAAAACAAGAAAGUUCAGAAAGAACAAAACACCUCCUACCCAAGCAUGCAGAUCCAAGUGUCUACACCCAGGCUACACGCCACCAACACAGCAGUUUCCGAUCACGUGACCUUACCAGGAAAACAAAAAUCGAGAUAUUAAACGUAUGACAUUUGUUUAAUUUUAUCGUGUCAAGACCAGUAUCUCUAAACUAGCAACAUCGUUAUUUAUAACCACAAUAAACAUAACCACGUCAGCGUCUGUACGCUGUUGAGAAAAAAGAAUACUUUAGCUACACAAACUUGUAGAUAUUUUAUUUAAUAAAUAUUUAAAAUGGUCCAAAAUGAGAGAUAUGACCAAUCUUUUCAGUUGCUCUCCUGUCUGAAUGAAGAGAUGAGUAAGUAAAGUAGAUAUGCGACCAAACACUCUGAACAAAUCAUCUGGGAUGGAGAUAAUACUGCUGCAAUGAUCUACAAUGACAGAUGACAGACACCUGCAGACGGGUUCAACUGAUGUACUGAAGAAGAAGAAGAAGAAGAAGGCGUCUUAAAAUUUAUAAUUGUUAAUAUAUUUCUAUGCUUAAUGUUUGUAAAGUUUAUCAUGGUUUAUGAUAACCAUUAAUGUACUGUAUUUAACCAUGGGCAGUGGUAGCUCAGCGAUGAAGGUGUUGGACUACUGCUCAGGAGGUCGUGAAUCAAACCUCAGCACUACCACAAUACCUGUUGGGCCCUUGAGCAACUGCUCAGAUGUAUAAAUGAAAUAAAUGUAAGUUGACAGCACACGCCACAGUCGGUUUUACACCUUACUCAUUCAUGUUCACGCUGUACAUACUUUCCAGGCAGGAGGUGGAGGCUCUUAACAUUCUCUGCGCUGGUGUAAUUAUAGACAAUUAAUUUGCUAAUGGUUUCGCAGCCUGAGCCCGAAGAGUGAAAGUAAAUGUACCAGGAAAUAAACAACCUGUGGUUUGCAUUUUGUCCACCAACGAAUUCAGUCCAGAGCGUGUAACUCGGCUGAGAUCCCCCUUCAAAAUGACCCAAGUCUUUCCAGCAACGAUCAGAGUUUUUGUCAAGGUCCUUGGGAAGACCAAGAAGUCCCACAAGACCUUCAUGGAGCGUCUGACAACUUCGCCGAAACUUCGUGAAGUGAAGUCGGUGAACGACAGUGAUGUCAUCAUUGCUUUUGUCCCAGUUGUGUCUCAAGCUGGAACUGACAUUGGAGCUGCAAUGGCCAAAAUUCCUCAGGGUAAGCCUGUUGUUCUCGUGGUGCUCCACCACACAUAUGAUCAGAAUUACAUCGCUCCGGACAGCAGACGCUGUGUAAACACAGACAGAGUGUUUGCUGUAGAUUGUCUCUAUCAUGACCAAGGUCUGCUGAAUUGCCUGCGCAAUGACGACGCAAUCAGAGCCGUGAAGAAGCACCUGAGAUGCGACGACCACAUUGAGGACGACUCCAUAUUUGAUUGCUGGUUAUGUGUCCUGAAGGAACCGAAGAAUCUCACUCGGAUAUUGAUUGGUGUAUUCGUUUGCCUUCUGAUCAUCCUACUGAUUAUAGUUAUAAUUAAGCUCACUUCAUUAAUGCGUUAAUUCACGAUUUAAAAUUGGAAUACAGAGUGCACCGGGGUUAUGCUAGCGCUUGUGUCAGAGGUAUACUCUAUCUAUAAUAUAAUGACUAUGAAGUACUUUUGAUGAAUAGUUUAGCACUGCGUGUGCUUUACACUGUGUGUUUGUAGGGUUUAAUAUGAAACUAUCUGUAUAUGUGUUAUUAUAUGACAGACUAUAGUAACAGAUUAGUUUAGUUAUCUUUCUCUUUAGCCUACAGCUGUUAUUUGUUGCUUUAUUAGACAUAGAUUUGAAAUAGAAAAACUAAAUUACAUUUACAGCUUUGUUUCCUUUCCUAACCCCAGUGGGUGAAUUGAAAUGGCCUCAAGAUUAUGUGUAGUCUAUGAAUGUGUGUGUGUGUGUGUGUGUGUGUGUGUGUGUGUGUGUGUGUGUGUGUGUGUGUGUAUUUGAUUUCUUUCUGUUUAUGUCACGAUAGGCGACAGUGUGCACAUAACUCCAGCAGACUUCUGCUGCAUUUCACUCAUUUUUAUAUGUUUUUAUUUUCUGCACCUGAUUUGUUCUUGAAUAUAUUAUAAUGGUGUUGUUUUGGGUUUUUUUUUUUUUUUUUUUUGCAAAUAAAAAACUAUUUGUGCCUCCCUUUCUGUUUACUCACUCACACUCACUCAGUCACUGAAUUUUGUCAUCUAGUCUAACCACACUAGCUAUUUCUGUUUAGC